rnacentral:rRNA from 1 species
UGAGUAACCUGCCCCAGACUCUGGGAUAAGCACUGGAAACGGUGUCUAAUACCGGAUACGAGCUUCAGCCGCAUGGCUAGGAGCUGGAAAAGAAUUUCGGUCUGGGAUGGACUCGCGGCCUAUCAGCUAGUUGGUGAGGUAACGGCCCACAAGGCGACGACGGGUAGCCGGCCUGAGAGGGUGACCGGCCACACUGGGACUGAGACACGGCCCAGACUCCGUACGGGAGCAG